CCUACGGGUGGCAGCAGUGAGGAAUAUUGGUCAAUGGACGAGAGUCUGAACCAGCCAAGUAGCGUGAAGGAUGACUGCCCUAUGGGUUGUAAACUUCUUUUAUAUGGGAAUAAAAUGCUCCACGUGUGGGAUUUUGUAUGUACCAUAUGAAUAAGGAUCGGCUAACUCCGUGCCAGCAGCCGCGGUAAUACGGAGGAUCCGAGCGUUAUCCGGAUUUAUUGGGGUUAAAGGGAGCGUAGGUGGAUUGUUAAGUCAGUUGUGAAAGUUUGCGGCUCCACCGUAAAAUUGCAGUUGAAACUGGCAUUCUUGAGUACAGUAGAGGUGGGCGGAAUUCGUGGUGUAGCGGUGAAAUGCUUAGAUAUCACGAAGAACUCCGAUUGCGAAGGCAGCUCACCGGACUGCAACUGACACUGAGGCUCGAAAGUGUGGGUAUCAAACAGGAUUAGAUACCCCAGUAGUC
rnacentral:rRNA from 1 species